rnacentral:rRNA from 1 species
UGCCAGCCGCCGCGGUAAUACGGAGGGGGUUAGCGUUGUUCGGAAUUACUGGGCGUAAAGCGUACGUAGGCUGAUUAUUAAGUCAGAGGUGAAAUCCCGGAGCUCAACUCCGGAACUGCCUUUGAUACUGGUAGUCUAGAGAUUGUGAGAGGUGAGUGGAAUUCCAAGUGUAGAGGUGAAAUUCGUAGAUAUUUGGAGGAACACCAGUGGCGAAGGCGGCUCACUGGCACAAUACUGACGCUGAGGUACGAAAGUGUGGGUAGCAAACAGGAUUAGAUA